GCCUGGCUAGCUCAAUCGGUAGACCGUGAGACUCUUACCAUCUCAAGGUUGUGGGUUCGACCCCCACGUUAGGCU
rnacentral:tRNA from 1 species